rnacentral:lncRNA from 1 species
UUGUCAAGGUGACAGUUGUUAGUUGACAUACGAUUAUUUCUGAUGUUUGGUGGUCUUCAUUUUGUAUUGGCAAAAAUAUAUCUCCAACUCCUAUCUCUAAAGACGAUGAUAACCAUUGUGAAGAAUGACAUGCAAAGGCUAUUAGAACCACAUAUCAACAAUUUUCUGACCAUGACCAAGUGAUGAAUAUGAUAAAAGUCUACCUCAUGAAAGCCACACUACUUUUCAAAGAAAAAUAUUUUCUUUGGAGUUGUAGGUAUUAUAGUGAAAACUUAAUCUUGACUUCUGUUCUGCAUAAAUGAGAAUCGCACUAUGCCAGGUAACAUAAUGUAGCGAGUACCCUGGUUGAGUCAAGAUAAUAUAAGUGGAAAGAUAAUGUGGCCCAAGUAGUAAAGGAAAGGAUGUGCAAACAGCCGAAUGUGAAUCUGGCAAUAAUGUGCCUGUUUAAAUGAGUUUUAGUUGAGUACCAAAUAGUUACCUAGGUUUUCCUGGGAAAAACACUGAUCCAGCCUUUCUGAUUCAACUGAGUUUUUGUAUGGUUUUGAAUAAAUAACUAAACAAUAGAAAUGUGUCUUUUUUAUUUUACUAUCCCCUUUCCA